rnacentral:rRNA from 1 species
GGCUAAAUACUCCUGACUGACCGAUAGUGAACCAGUACCGUGAGGGAAAGGCGAAAAGAACCCCGGCGAGGGGAGUGAAAAAGAACCUGAAACCGUGUACGUACAAGCAGUGGGAGCACAGGUUUACCUGUGUGACUGCGUACCUUUUGUAUAAUGGGUCAGCGACUUAUAUUCUGUAGCAAGGUUAACCGAAUAGGGGAGCCGGAGGGAAACCGAGUCUUAAUUGGGCGUUAAGUUGCAGGGUAUAGACCCGAAACCCGGUGAUCUAGCCAUGGGCAGGUUGAAGGUUGGGUAACACUAACUGGAGGACCGAACCGACUAAUGUUGAAAAAUUAGCGGAUGACCUGUGGCUGGGGGUGAAAGGCCAAUCAAACCGGGAGAUAGCUGGUUCUCCCCGAAAGCUAUUUAGGUAGCGCCUCGUGAAUUCAUCUCCGGGGGUAGAGCACUGUUUCGGCUAGGGGGCCAUCCCGGCUUACCAACCCGAUGCAAACUGCGAAUACCGGAGAAUGUUAUCACGGGAGACACACGGCGGGUGCUAACGUCCGUCGUGAAGAGGGAAACAACCCAGACCGCCAGCUAAGGUCCCAAAGUCAUGGUUAAGUGGGAAACGAUGUGGGAAGGCCCAGACAGCCAGGAUGUUGGCUUAGAAGCAGCCAUCAUUUAAAGAAAGCGUAAUAGCUCACUGGUCGAGUCGGCCUGCGCGGAAGAUGUAACGGGGCUAAACCAUGCACCGAAGCUGCGGCAGCGAACGUAUCACUUAAAGCGAUUCAGCGGGUUACGAUUGACGGAGCGAAGCGACGUCAAAGCGUAUACAAAGUCGAGUCGGUUUAAGGAUACGUUCGUUGGGUAGGGGAGCGUUCUGUAAGC